rnacentral:piRNA from 1 species
UUUUAAGGGUGUCCUUCCUAAAGUCUUAUA